rnacentral:lncRNA from 1 species
CUCCCCUCCCGGUACCGGCCCUCGCGCAAGGGUUGGGUCGGGUUUCUCCCGCGGCGUCCCCACUCCCACCGGCGGCUGCUCUGCUAUUCAGGUAACUGCACUUUUCUUGGGCCUGAAGUUGCCAGGCCUAAGAGAGAAACAGAAACGCUCGUUAUGAGUUCUCAGUUCAAGGCCUUGCUCUUUGCUCUCCGGUUUGGCCAGUUCCUCCUGUGUAGCCCUACUCAUAGACAUCAGACUGAGACCAGCCAUGUUCACAGAGAGCAGCCCUUGGCCAUGGGCCAGGCCAUCGAUGGGAGUGUUGACGGAGAUCACACAGAUGGACUUUGACAGGUUCUGCUUGUACCCUCCAUCUGGUUUACUUCAUCCUUAUUUUUCAAGGGUAUAUGACACUGCUUUGGUUUUGGCUAGUUCCUUAUUAGCAAUAAUCCUUAGCUUCUACAACUAACGUUUCGUGUAUGGUUCCAUGUGAAGGGCCCUGCUGGAAUCCAGAUCAAUUAAGUCUAUUCUGUUUCCAGAUACUAGGAGGUCAGACCUGUUCUCAGUGAGACCCAUUUUACCCAGCACAGUUUGGUUUUAGCAAGACAAUGCUGUAUCUCAGUCACAUCUUUCAACUGCCUCCAUGUUUUAAGAAUUUGUUGAAAGCAUUGCAUACUCGAGAGAACCAAAUAAUAGGCCAAUAGAUAAUGUAUUGUUGGAGACAUUUACCCCCUCCCUGUGAAAGUGUACCUCAUGAAGCUGUAAGGAGAGGGAACAUCUGUGCUGAUUUGAAAAGUCUGUUUCUGGGACAAAGUGGGAAAAAAAAGUAAAUUCUGUAUUUCUGCCUUCACACCCUUAAUGAGUGAGAGUUAGGCAAGGCAGGACUUGUUUACUUCAGAUGUUGGUCACGCUCAAAUAGUGUCGCAUGCCUCCCAUUCUUCCCCUGUGCUUGGCAGGCUGCCAUUCUCUGGGGGCAUCUGUGUGGGGGUGGGAAUCCCUGGAUGAAACUGCUGGGAAGCUUUUAAAAUUUUCAGAGAACAGGAGCAAACGUCAAGGAAACAGAAAAAGAAUCUGCAAGAGCCACAAAGAUCGAGUUGGUGCAGGAGAAAGGGACUGCCAUUCUGUUUGCUGAGCAGAUGCCCAGGGCAAGCUGCGCAGUGGGAUCUGUUGCGUCUGGGCCAGUCUGUGGUUGCAGGAGCAGAAAACGAGCUGUCAUUUAAGCACCAAGAAGUAAGUCGUCCAGCCAGCGAGGAGCAGCGCCCCGACCAGCACCGUGUAGCUGAACAGCACGAAGGCCAGGAGCUCCUUCAGCACCUUGAGGAAGUGGACGGCAAAGGAGUCCGGCAUGGUUCUUGCAGCACUGCGAGGCAGGUAGGGUGUCUGGGGCUGCUGGCACCCUGCUCCGUCCAGGUCUGCAAGAAAGAAGAGCAAAGGGGCAGCGUGAGUCUUUCUGGGCAGGAGACUGCAGAGCUGUGGGUGUGAAUCUACUGUAAGAAGUGGCUGUGUUCAGGAGGGCUAAUGGUCACCCUGCUUUCUCAGAGCUUCAACGUCAGGUUGGGAUCAUGUGUGCUUGUUCACAGAGUCCUCUCCAGGGUUACCAGGCUGUGCAGUGUUGAGAAGGAGUUCAGGAUCUGGUCACAGACUCCAAGGCAGGACUGGUAACUAAGCAAAUUAAAAUAUAGACACACAUGCAGUGGACACUGAUGUGUAGGUAAGGACCAGUGGCCCAGAGUCCAGCUGGCUAAUGGUGUCUUUUCCCCUGUGUCAGUUGCUGCGCAUCCAGGAAGCUUCACAUUUAGAGCAUUUGCUGAUGGUACAUUACCAACAGAAUGUUCUAAUCAAAGUGGUCAAUUCCUCCAAGGAAGCCACCAUUAAUAUUUAAUGAUAUAAUAGCAUCUAAUGGAGAUACUGGCACAAACUGAGCCCUUUGUUUAAGACUGAAGAAAAUGGAACUUAAAUACAAGUUUGCACAGCCAAAGAUUUCUAACUCGCAUUAAAAAUAACCUUUAGAUGGGGGACAAAAGGUAAGAUAUUUUAGAAUUCAUUUCUAUUUGUAUUUUAAAGUCAUACUUAUGCAUCACUUUAAAAGUUGCUCAUUAGUUAGUUUAAUGCAAAAUCUGAACACUUUUUCAAAAGUUAUUGGCUUCUUGGACUUAAAGCUGUGAAGACAUAUCUAAAAAAUUCUACUGUGUCCCCAAUUUACAUGUUAUUUUUAAUUUUGUUUAGAAAUAUGCCUGCACUCUUAGUCAAGCUCAUAAAGGGAUUUAAAACCAGAUUCAGGAUAAGGCUAACCUAAAAGGAUUAUUUCUCAUUUAAACAGUCUAAAGCCGGUCAAAGUAAUCUGAAUUCACAUCCUGCCACUUAGAAUAUUUUUAAAGAGCUGUUAUCAUAAAGAGUUCACCUUUUGAUUAAAAAUAAUUUGGUCUUUUUAAAUAGUUUCAGUCAUUUCCCCCAAGCUCAGGCACAUGUAUAUGUUAUAGAAGCUAUUACGUUGUAAAAACAGCUAUAGCUUCCCAGUUGUUCAAAGUAUUGAAGUUUUCUAUUUAUAGUCUUUACAUAUUUUUUCAUUACCUAAAGACGUUGACAAAGAAAUAAACUGCUUACCCAGGUAGAUGAUGGAAUCUAC